AUACGCAUAGCAACGAUCCCACUGGGGACAAACAAAAGUAGCGUCGUCUCCAUCGAACCAGUUGUCAGUGGCAACAUAUAGGAAUCGUGUACAUUUCUUCGUUUCUUCUUUGCUGUUUUCAGUGAGUGUUUUGUUUUCUCUUUGUCCUUGAUCUCGACGGUGUUGUGGUGCUCAUUACCUUACUGAGACGUCUCCUGUGACUGAAGCCAGUGUCACGGAGGAUUUUAUUGGCGUGGCGAGGUAGAUCGCCGAGAUCGAGCGUGAAAAACGCUCUGCAUUAGUAGCUCCUGUAGAAUGUCUUCUGGGAUGGCGUAUCCAUGGUCAACAAAGCCAAGGUGCAAGACAGCAUAAGAGGUCGUGUAAACGAUGUGAACUCCAAAAGAUAAUCUGGACAAAUAAAUUAUAAUUAUUGUAAUUGGAGCUCCGGAGAGUGCAAUCGUGCUUGGGACCCAUCCCAAUGUCAUCACAUGGCUGUGGUGACUAGUGUAUACCUGGGAGAGUUUUCCUCAACUGAGAUGGAGUGUAGGUGGAUGGAUUAUGAGAAAUGCGAAGAUCAUGAGUUCAAGGCUAGAUGCACUUCACAUUCGGCGUGCGAUCUCGGCGUCUGGGACCUGAUAACGUCUUGGUUGGAUGGGUAAUCAAGGAUGAUACUACUCGGCACACCAAUGUACAUGUCAAUGUAUUUUUUACUUUUUCAGAGCUGCACUAUUUACGGACGAUUGUGGCUGUUAGAGAGGAAAUAAAUUAAUAGUAUUCACAAACAAGUCCCACUUAUUGUUUCUGUUCGUAAAAGGAAAUUGCAAUUUUUUGGUCAUAUUGUUCGUUCCGGCUGUUUGUCAUUGACUGUUCUUCAGUGUUGUGUUGCUGGAGGCCGUGGCCGAGGCAGGCCCAGAAUGUCAUGGCUUGAUAAUAUUAUUUCAUGGACUGCACUUGACGUGCAGUCCCUGCUCGCUGCUGCACGCGAUCGAUUUUUAUGGCGCUCGCUUGUUCAUACUUGCUCUGUGACGCCCCGACGGCCUUAGGGCUAUGGGCUUGUGAUGACGACUAUUUACGUCUUGAUGCUUAA